AUGGUGGUGGAACAGAGUGGAGCUGAGGAACAUGGUGGUGGAACAGAGUGGAGCUGAGGAACAUGGUGGUGGAACAGUGAGUGGAGCUGAGGAACAUGGUGGUGGAACAGUGAGUGGAGCUGAGUAUCACUAAGACUGAACUGCAGUUCUACAAGAACAAGGUGGAGGAACUGGAGAGACAGAACACAGAAUUUCAGGCCAGAGUGAGAGCCAGGUAGAGGAGCUGAAGACAAAGAAUGCAGGUGUCUUCAGUGCUCCAGUGAGAGGAAUACAUGGACUUUGGUUUGUUCAAGUAUGACCAGGGUGGAAUGGAAUGGACAGUACAAUAGUCACGGAAGGUGACAGUAUCUCUCCAAUUCUGGGACUCUUGAACUGAAGGAGGGGGGUCUUGGUUUACAUGAGUCUCUUAUCAGGCUAAAGGAUCUAUGAUGAUUCUAAUAAACACAGCUCCUUCAGUGACUUCCUGCUCUUUCCUAUGUGAGAUGAACACCACAAAAGCUGUAAUAAAAAGUCCAAUCUGUUAUAACAUUCCAUGAAACAUUAUGACGGUAAAAUAAAAUGACUUAACGUCUUCUGUUCUGUUGACGUUUGACUGUAUUUACUAUGAUAUAGAUGAAUGUUCAGCUCAGUAGUUUGGGUGGAAGGCAAAGGGCCAGCGUUGGGGGUUAAAGUGGUAAUAUAUUUAUUGUAUGUAACUACAGACAAAAUUAAAUAACAGUUCAGAUCAACAGUCAGUUUAACUAAUCAUUUCAAGCAGAAAUUGAUCAAUUACGAUGCUAAAGUGAAUGUUUAAGUGAUAAAUCACAUCCACUUCAUUCUUUCUCUGCUUAAUGAUAACACUAGCAGCCCAUUUAGCCUAUUAAAGCUAUACUGCUCCCAUAUUGAUCUGUUACACCUAUCCAUCUACUAACCGACAUACAGGCCAGGUCAGUAUCACCUAACACAGACGGCAAACUUUAAAGGUACAAUCCUGAGUUUGUGUCAGCCCAACAGCAGCCCACCCACUUGGUUUGGUGUAAAGCUUAGAGAUGGGUCUAGUCGUGCUUGGUAACAUUAUUCCUAAAAAAGUUUCAGAAGUUGCACCUGUGCUUGUAGUGAAGAGAUGCACUACAUGGCAGUUUGGAACUCAGUAGGGAAUGUUGAAACUGAGGGCAGACACUUUUUACGCGCUACACCCUUCAGCACUCGGCAGUCCCGUUCUGUGAGCUUGUGUGGCCUGCCACUUUGUGGCUGAGCUGUUGUUGCUCCUAGACGUUUCCACUUCACAAUAACAGCACAAUAACAGUUGACCGGGGCGGCUCUAGCAGGGCAGAAAUUUGACAAACUGACUUGUUGGAAAGGUAGCAUCCUAUGACGGUGCCACGUUGAAAGCAGUUCUUUGUGUAGGUGAAGAAUAUAAAUGACAUUUAUAUAAAUAUAAAUGUGUAGAUGUUUAAGUUCCUCCCUGGUAUAUCCGGAGAGUUAACUUCCUUGUAAUUGCUUGAAUAAAAUCUUAACUUGAAAAUGA